rnacentral:misc_RNA from 2 species
GGGGAAUUUUCCGCAAUGGGCGAAAGCCUGACGGAGCAAGACCGCGUGAGGGAGGAAGGCUCUUGGGUUGUAAACCUCUUUUCUCAAGGAAGAAACAAUGACGGUACUUGAGGAAUCAGCAUCGGCUAACUCCGUGCCAGCAGCCGCGGUAAUACGGAGGAUGCAAGCGUUAUCCGGAAUGAUUGGGCGUAAAGCGUCCGCAGGUGGCCGCUCAAGUCUGCCGUCAAAGACUCCAGCUUAACUGGAGAAAGGCGGUGGAAACUGAGCUAGCUAGAGUGCGGUAGGGGCAGAGGGAAUUCCCGGUGUAGCGGUGAAAUGCGUAGAGAUCGGGAAGAACACCAGUGGCGAAAGCGCUCUGCUGGACCGCAACUGACACUCAGGGACGAAAGCUAGGGGAGCGAAUGGGAUUAGAUACCCCAGUAGUCCUAGCCGUAAACGAUGGAUACUAGGUGUUGUGCGUAUCGACCCGCGCAGUGCCGCAGCUAACGCGCUAAGUAUCCCGCCUGGGGAGUACGCACGCAAGUGUGAAACUCAAAGGAAUUGACGGGGGCCCGCACAAGCGGUGGAGUAUGUGGUUUAAUUCGAUGCAACGCGAAGAACCUUACCAGGGCUUGACAUGUCCGGAAUCUUUGGGAAACUAAAGAGUGCCUUCGGGAACCGGAACACAGGUGGUGCAUGGCUGUCGUCAGCUCGUGUCGUGAGAUGUUGGGUUAAGUCCCGCAACGAGCGCAACCCUCGUUUCUAGUUGCCAGCAUUCAGUUGGGCACUCUGGAGAGACUGCCGGUGACAAACCGGAGGAAGGUGGGGAUGACGUCAAGUCAGCAUGCCCCUUACGUCCUGGGCUACACACGUACUACAAUGCUUCAGACAAAGGGCAGCCAGCCAGCAAUGGUGAGCUAAUCCCAUAAACUGAGGCUCAGUUCAGAUCGCAGGCUGCAACUCGCCUGCGUGAAGGCGGAAUCGCUAGUAAUCGCCGGUCAGCAUACGGCGGUGAAUACGUUCCCGGGCCUUGUACACACCGCCCGUCACACCAUGGGAGCUGGCGGUGCCCGAAGUCGUUAUCCUAACCUGCAAAGGAGGGAGACG